UACGAAGGGGGCUAGCGUUGCUCGGAAUCACUGGGCGUAAAGGGUGCGUAGGCGGGUUUCUAAGUCAGAGGUGAAAUCCUGGAGCUCAACUCCAGAACUGCCUUUGAUACUGGAAGUCUUGAGUAUGGGAGAGGUGAGUGGAACUGCGAGUGUAGAGGUGAAAUUCGUAGAUAUUCGCAAGAACACCAGUGGCGAAGGCGGCUCACUGGCCCAUUACUGACGCUGAGGUGCGAAAGCGUGGGGAGCAAACAGG
rnacentral:rRNA from 1 species